AGAGUCUAAUUGUUUUCCUAUAUAAUGUUGAGAAAGCAAAAGACUUUUGCAUAGCUAUUCAAAUAUUUUUUGACUAUUUCCAUAUAUAUACCAAGAUCAUAACAUACAGAAUUUCCAUAACUCAUCCCAUUAUUCCAUAGGAAGCUCCAAGCUGCAUAGAAAAAAAAAGAAGAGAAAGAAAACAACAGAGCGUAUCUAAGCAACGUUAGCAGGCAUCCUCAUAAAGUGAUAAGUUUGAGGUGAUUUGGAUUUGCGGGAGCAUACAACAACAACAACAACAACAACAAACCCAGUGUAUUCCCACUUACGUGGGGUCUGGGGGGGGUAAGAUGUACGCAGUCCAUACCUCUACCUCUGCUGAGGUAGAAAGGCUGUUUCCGAAAGACCCCCGGCUCAAGUAACGAGAUAUCACACAAACACAUAGUUUUGCGGGAGCAUAGUUUUGAUAUAUAUUGGAAGGGGUGUUUGGAUUGUUAGUGUGAGGUAAGUGAGACUUAAAACUUCGAUGCUUGCUUUUCAAAUUGCUUCAUAAAAAUAGAUAUGUAUUUUUCUACCUAGUCCACGUGUUUGAACAAGCGUGCGGCUUGGUAGGAUCGGUGGUAUUGACUAGUUAUGGAUAAGUAUUUGUGAAGUAUAGUGAGAACUGCGCAGUGGUAAUGUGUGAGGGGAUGUUAGGGCGUUGAACAUAGUUUCUUCGUUGUUGCUAUAGUCUCUAGGGGCAUACAUAGCUACCCUAAUAUGUUAGGGGCAUACUUAUGCUGCCCUAAUAUGUUAGGGGCAUACAAUUGCUGCCCUAAUAUGUUAGGGGCUUGUACAUGCUGCCGUAGAAGACUUUUGGGGCAUUAUAUAUGCUGUCGUGGACUUGUCGGAGUGCUAGGUCGAUCACUUUCACUACCGUUUAUGACAAUUCGUGAGAGUUGGUUUAGUUGAGAUACAAAGUGGCUUUUUGAACUUCCAUUUGGAUCUUGUUGAGCAUUACCUUAUAAGAGGCACUGUGUGCAUAUUAUUAUGUAUUUUGUUGUGCCUUGUAAUUUCUAAGACUUGUUCCAGGGGUAUUAAAGUAGUGGGUUGAGGAUCUUACAGGGUUAUAGUUAUAUAUAGCUCACUCCUUGCACAUCUGCAGAUAUGGUUGCUGAGAGAAACUUGUGGCUAACGGUCUUUACGUGUGGAUUCUAUUGUUGAGGUGAGCCUUUGCAUUGUUCGUGGAGGCUAUCAUCCAUCUUUAGUUAUUUUUAGAUUAUAUUUCUUUUCGUUGGGUUUGUAUGCCCGAAAGUUGAAAUCAUGUAACUCUGUUUAGAUGCUCCAUGGUCUUGGUGUGGGAUUUGAGGCUAGAGAGUUAUUAGUUAAGUAUUGUUGUUUACAUAAAUCGUAUUACGAUAAUCGUGUGGAUAAUUACUUUGCGUUUAAUAAUUAUUUCAUGCAUUUGGAGUUGCA